GGCUCGGUAGCGGAUGGUCCACGUCUGCACUGUAUACCUGUCUAAACUGUGCAGCAAAAGUCGUUCGUUCGAUUCGGGCCCGAGCCA